UACGUAGGGUGCAAGCGUUGCCCGGAAUUAUUGGGCGUAAAGAGCUCGUAGGCGGUUUGUCGCGUCUGCUGUGAAAACCCGAGGCUCAACCUCGGGCCUGCAGUGGGUACGGGCAGACUAGAGUGCGGUAGGGGAGAUUGGAAUUCCUGGUGUAGCGGUGGAAUGCGCAGAUAUCAGGAGGAACACCGAUGGCGAAGGCAGAUCUCUGGGCCGUAACUGACGCUGAGGAGCGAAAGCAUGGGGGAGCGAACAGG
rnacentral:rRNA from 1 species